ensembl:lncRNA
CACACACACACACACACACACACAGAGCGCGAGGACGCUAUAAAGCUGCUCUGUUGGGUUGCUCUUGUCAAAAGUGCUGGAGAUGUGAGGAGGAGUGAAGGAACUGGAGGAACUUCCACACGAUUUCGUUUCCUUUCUGCUGGAUUUCGGGACAAAACUCGCUGAUUCAUUUUUAAUAUUUUGCACAUUUUAGGUCUUUUUUUGCGCAGCUCCAGACUCCUGAUAUAUAUUUAUAUUUAUAUAUAGAUUUAUUUUUUGUAUCAGUUUUAGAAGAAACUUCUUUCUUCCUGACCAGCCUGCACUCAAGAUUAACGGGAUCCGUGCGGAAACAGUAUCGGGAGAGUGUGUGUGUGUGUGUGUGUGUGUGUGUGUGUGUUUGACGUUGCUGUGAUGGGCGCGUGUCCCGCAGGCUCGGUGUCCGCGCUUCACCGGUUCUUUUCCCGCUGCGUGCUCCUGCUGCUGGUGUGUUUGGUGUGCGGGGUUCUGGGGACCUGGGGACCGGGACGGUACAGCUACCAAACCAGGACCUCACUCAACAAAGACCCGAGCAAAAGUCCGUGACUGGAGCGCUUAUUCUCCACUCGCUGAGAAACUCUGUAGUGAAUAACGACGCCUCAGUGAAACUGUCCAGCACAGAGAGAGAGAGGUGAGAUUAGAGAGAUAACAAGCAUUAAAGUAGCAUUUAACUCGCACUAUCUCUCUCUCUCUCUCUCUCUCUCUCUCUCCCUCCCUGGGGGUUCAGAAAGGAUCAAAGCCCAGCAGAGAUUUCUGACUCCCCCGCCGUCUCUAAAAACAGCCCAGGGGUUCUCUAUAUAUGUGUGUG